ACCUCCUGCAUCUAGUCUUGGUUUGGUACCAGUGCAGUGUGGUAUGCCUGAAUGGCAAACCUUGGUUGAUUUUUUUAUGCUUUUUAGAUGUUGCCUUGAUAUUAACUCAACAUGAAUUUGUAAUUUGAAACCUGUCCUUAUUUGUGUUCCUCAUUAUUGACAUUCUUUUCAGGAUGGGUUAACACCACUCGAUCUUUGUCUUCACUCUGGCCGAGAUUUAAGAACUUAUGAACUUAUCAAGUUACUGAAGGGGCAUCCAUUGUCAAAGUCACGUGCUUGAGGCUACCUCUGCUGAGAUAUUCAUUAAAUGAUCAGCAGGUUUACAGUUACUAUCUGCACAUACUUCUUCACAGGUGAUUGGUUUGGUGUCAAGCAGUGAGCACUCACUAGACUUUUAAGAUCUAAAGCUACUAAUCCUAGCUUGACAUCAGUUACUAAGGUCAAUACACUCCUCAAAGUUCAUUGCAUCUUGGCUAGUUUUGUUUGACAGCUAGAUGGUCUAUGAAGAUUCCACUGAUGCUUAAUAUGAUAGAGAACACUUGAUGAGAAGCAUGUUAUGUAACUUAACUGCAACAUUGCUGUGUAUUUGCAGCAUGUUAUGUAACUUAACUGUAACAUUGCCUUGUGUUUGCAAUCAUGAAAAGGAAUCAUGUUUCGCUAAACUAGAUUCAAAGUUAAAUUGAUGAUAAUAGCAUUUUAUAUUUUUCAUAA